UACGUAGGGGGCAAGCGUUGUCCGGAUUUAUUGGGCGUAAAGAGCGUGUAGGCGGUUUGGUAGGUCCGCUGUGAAACUCGAGGCUCAACCUCGAGACGCCGGUGGAAACCAUCAGGCUAGAGUCCGGAAGAGGAGAGUGGAAUUCCUGGUGUAGCGGUGAAAUGCGCAGAUAUCAGGAGGAACACCGGUGGCGAAGGCGGAUCUCUGGGCCUGUCCUGACGCUCAGGCGCGAAAGCUAGGGGAGCAAACAGG
rnacentral:rRNA from 1 species